rnacentral:rRNA from 1 species
UACGCAGGGUGCGAGCGUUAAUCGGAAUUACUGGGCGUAAAGCGUGCGCAGGCGGCUUUGCAAGACAGAUGUGAAAUCCCCGGGCUCAACCUGGGAACUGCAUUUGUGACUGCAAGGCUAGAGUACGGCAGAGGGGGAUGGAAUUCCGCGUGUAGCAGUGAAAUGCGUAGAUAUGCGGAGGAACACCAAUGGCGAAGGCAAUCCCCUGGGCCUGUACUGACGCUCAUGCACGAAAGCGUGGGGAGCAAACAGG